AUUGAACGCUGGCGGCAGGCCUAACACAUGCAAGUCGAGCGAGCGGCGGACGGGUGAGUAAUGUCUGGGACCCUGCCUGAUGGCGGGGGAUAACUACUGGAAAAGGUAGCAAAUACCGCAUACCAUCAGAUGUGCCCAGAUGGGAUUAGCUAGGCGGUGGGGUAACGGCUCACCUAGGCGACGAUCCCUAGCUGGUCUGAGAGGAUGACCAGCCACACUGGAAAGGAGACACGGUCCAGACUCCUACGGGAGGCAGCAGUGGGGAAGAUUGCACAAGGGGCGCAAGCCUGCUGCAGCACUGCCGCGUGUGGGAAGAAGGCCUUCGGGUUGUAAAGCACUUUCAGCGGGUAGGCGUUACCCGCAGAAGAAGCACCGGCUAACUCCGUGCCAGCCGCCGCGGUAAUAC
rnacentral:rRNA from 1 species